AGUGAACGCUGGCGGUAGGCCUAACACGUGCAAGUCGAACGGCAGCACAGGAGAGCUUGCUCUCUGGGUGGCGAGUGGCGGACGGGUGAGGAAUACAUCGGAAUCUACUCUGUCGUGGGGGAUAACGUAGGGAAACUUACGCUAAUACCGCAUACGACCUACGGGUGAAAGCAGGGGACCUUCGGGCCUUGCGCGAUUGAAUGAGCCGAUGUCGGAUUAGCUAGUCGGCGGGGUAAAGGCCCACCAAGGCGACGAUCCGUAGCUGGUCUGAGAGGAUGAUCAGCCACACUGGAACUGAGACACGGUCCAGACUCCUACGGGAGGCAGCAGUGGGGAAUAUUGGACAAUGGGCGCAAGCCUGAUCCAGCCAUACCGCGUGGGUGAAGAAGGCCUUCGGGUUGUAAAGCCCUUUUGUUGGGAAAGAAAUCCAGCUGGCUAAUACCCGGUUGGGAUGACGGUACCCAAAGAAUAAGCACCGGCUAACUUCGUGCCAGCCGCCGCUGUAA
rnacentral:rRNA from 1 species